CCCUUAGACGUUCUGGGCCGCACGCGCGCUACACUGACCAGUGCAACAAGCAUCCGUCCUUGGCCGACAGGCUCGGGCAAUCUUUGAACGCUGGUCGUGAUGGGGAUAGACUUUUGCAAUUUUUGGUCUUCAACGAGGAAUUCCUAGUAAACGCAAGUCAUCAACUUGCAUUGAUUACGUCCCUGCCCUUUGUACACACCGCCCGUCGCACCUACCGAUUGAAUGGUCCGGUGAAGCCUCCGGAUUGGCGCGCACCUCGGUGCCGCCGAGAAGUUGGCUAAACCUUACCAUUUAGAGGAAGGUGGAGUCGUAACA
rnacentral:rRNA from 1 species